GCCUGGGUGGCUUAGUUGGUUAAGCAUCUGACCUCAGCUCAGGUCAUGGUCUCACUGUUUGUGAGUUCAAAUCCUGCGCCAGGCU
rnacentral:tRNA from 1 species